AAAGGCAUUCAAGAGGAAUAGAAAAAAUGCACCAAGGCAUCGUGGGGAGCAAAAGUAUUGAAAGGCAUACACUCCUCAUAUAGGUGUGAUUUUCUCUUGGUUUGAGUAGAAAUUCUUCGUUAAGGUAUUUGGACAUCCUCACAGGAUUGAUUGAUAUGAUUCAUUGUUUGGAUCGGGUACCACUUCGGUAUAGUACAUGCAUAAAAGAUCAUCCCCUACAGUUCAUAACUAAUGGAAUAUCAUAAAUCUCUUAGCAUGUAUGUACAAGGUUGCAAAAUCAGUUGAUGUUUCACAGAUAAUGUGGAUAGUGAUCUCCAAUAUUUUUAUUCUGCUCAUUCAUAGUGAAAGUUGUGUCUUAUUUUUUUAUUCGUUAUACUAGAAGCUCUUGUGUAUUUGGACUAGGUCCUUAGAUGAUUUUCA